UUGAUGGUAACAAGCACGGCAGCCAUUUUCGAUUUUAAUUAACUUGCCUCUCUUUCUUCCUUGCGAUGACUCAUGCCAACAAAUACAAUAGACAGACCGAGAAAAUAUGCUAAUAUAUACACAGAUUGGAUUUCUCUCUUCUAAACACUUAGCCAUUAUGUUUCAGUCGGUCGAUAAUCCUGUAUUGUUUUUGCUUUAGGAAUGUUUAUGGUUAAAUAUUCUUUCAUUAACGCUCAGUUCGGACAGUUUUUUCAUAAAACAUGUCUCAUCAUAUAUUAUUUUAAAGUUGAAACCAAAACUAUGAUUUCGUAAACAGCUAAGCAGUCACAGGGGAUAAAUUCAACGAAAUUUCUGGAAGACAUCCAUUAUAAUUUCAUUAUAUACUCCCCAGACUCAAUUUCGUUUCAGUGUGUGUGUGUGUCCCACGACAUUAUGGCAUUGAAUUAAAUUAAGAAAAAGAUGUGGCAUCUUUUAUUUUAUUUUUUACUAUUUUGGAGAAAGAUAUAGUAUGUCCAAACAGUUAAGAAGUUAUCUCCGCGACAACGAGAUCUUGAGUUCGAUCCCACUGCAAGACAACUUGGGCAGAUGUCAUUUUCUAUAUAGCCUUGAAUUUGACCCAUGUCCUGUGAGUGAAAUUGGAGAGACGGAUGCUGUAUAAAAGGCCGUCAGGUGGACUGUUCCUGCAAUUCAAAUAGUACGCACGACCUGUAAUCGACCUGCACUUUCUCUCGGAUUUGCUGGCCUUGUGCCACAAAUGAGAAAGAAUUAUUAUUGUCUAAGGCGGCAAGCCAAAUACAAUCGUUAGCGCGUCGGACAAAAUGCAUAGCUCUCUUUUGACUCGUUACGGUCUAAGUUCAGAUUCCACCAAAGUCAACUUUACAUUCCAUCCUUUCAGGAUCGACAAAAUAAAGUAUUAGUUGAGCACUGUAGCCGAUGUAAUCGAAUCCCCUACUCAAAAUUGCUGGCUUUGUACCAAAAUUUGAAGCACACAUUAUUGUCCAAAGUGCCAUCAACUCUAUUAUCCUGCAGGAACUUAACUAACCAUCAGUGGUCUCUCUGGGUUGACUUGAGUAGAGUUUCAUCUUUGUAAACCUACAGAACGUCUCCAGUUCAAGGAUAAUUUCCAAGCUGUAGUCUGUUGUCUGCCUCCCAGUCACAGAUACUGACCUCCCUCGUGUGACACGCCACAAGAAGAAGAUGCCAAGUUAAAUUAUAAUAAACGUAUAAUAGACAGUAGAGUUUUGUGUGUGAUGUCUGUGUUUAGUGAAAGAAGAAAGCGUCAGCAACAAAUAAAGUGAAAUGAUUCCAGCUGGGGAUUGAAACGUCCCUCUUGUAUUAAAAAUUCACGUCUAGAAUGGAUUAUAGGAAGAUUACUCGAUACAGAUAGUUUUAACAGUGACAUUCAUUUUAUCGACACUACAGGGUGGUCCAAAAGUCUUGUUACCCCCUACAUAUUGUUUUCCAUUGUCAUUAUUACCUCCGCUUUAGUGAAGGCGGGGGUAUUGUUUUCAGCUGUGCUUGUUUGUUUGUCCGUAGACAAGAUAUCUCAAGAACCGCUGGAUGGAUUCGGAUGAAACUUUCAGCGAUAUUUGGCCUCGUGACUGGUUCAACUGGUGCUUAUUUUAUCGUUCCCGAACGGAUUAAAGGCAAAGUUGACCUCGGCGGAAUUUGAACUCGCAACGUAGCGACGGGCGAAAUACAGCUAAGUACUUCGCCAGCUCGCCGCCUUAAUGUGUUUGAGUUAAUAAUAAUAAUUUUUAGAAUAAACACAUGUACACAAAUAUCAAGGAAAACGGUAUAACCAACUAGGUCUACCCGAAUACUUGGUUUGUACUAACUGAAUUGUCCGUGGAAAGAUAAACGAUAAAGUCGACCCUGCUGGAAUUUGAACUCAGAAACUUGACAAACUAUCGAGGCAUUCUCCGUUGUUACUCAAACAAUUCUGUCAUUCAGAAUAAAGACAAGCAGCAAGAGUUUGAAUUCUAAGCGGAUUAGUGUGGUGAUCAUACCUCUCUACAAGAUAAUGAUUGAACGCAUCUGUUCUUGUAGAGUCCAGUUAAUUGUUGAAAGUUUUGUAGGCCUGAAAUUAAUCGACAGGAAAAAAAAUUCCGUCAACCCCAAUAUGAAAAAUUAUUUAUAAAAACAAUAAAGGAUCUAUUCAGUUUCAAUCGAAAACUAUUAUUUGCAAACAAAGUUUAAACGUCUUUUUUUAUGAAAAUAGAGAAAAAAAAUAAAAAUUCGCCCAUUAACUGAAUAUCUCUUGAUGAUAUUAUUUUAACAAGCGACAUAAUUCGGUUAACACCGCUCGCAUGUUUCCGAUUCCCAGCUGAUUUCCCUGCCAACUACCAUCACUUCAGUCUUCUCCAGGCCUCCAACACUCAAAGAAACUCUUGCUGUAUACAAUGGAAGUAUUUAAUGAAUCUGUGUUUUAACAAAUGUUUUCAACAGGGAAACGUCUACAACCAAACAACAAUUAUUUGUCCAGCAGGAAACAUUUUCUCUGUUUAUAAACUGAAUAUUUUGUGAAAACCUUUUGACAUCAGAUGUUAUUACCUCAUUCCUCCAGAAGUGAAGAACAAGAAUCAAAAUAUUGUUAAUAAUUAUUUGAACCAAAAAGUCUUAUAAAGUGGAAACCUCUGAAAAUAAAGGCAUUCAACAAAUAUUUGUCAUUAAUUCAGGGAAAACCUUGAUAACUCCAUGUCUGAUAUGGCUUUGACUGGUCAACAGAAAGUGGUUUACAAGAAGGACAAAGAGUUUUCUGAUCUUGUUUCCUUAACCUUUGAUUGUGAAAGUCCAUCUUAUUGGCCAAUGAAGAAGCUUAACUGUUCCAUCUGUCAUCGAAGGUUUCAUCUCCGCACUACUUUGAACUUACAUAAAAAAGUCCACUUCACAUUGAAGCCGUUUACAUGUCCAAGCUGUUUUACUCGUUUCCCCACCAAAACACUCUUACACAGACAUUCUUCCUCUCACACCAAUCUUACGGAACCCAAUUGUUUUCUCUGUAAAAAAUUCUUCUCGGACUUCUCCAGUCUGAAAACCCAUGAGUUCUUUAUGCUUUGUGUGAAACCAUUUGAGUGCAAUAAAUGUGAGAUGAAGUUUACACUGAAAGCUCAACUUUGGCAGCACCAGAAAUUACACAAAAUGGCAAAUGGUGAAAGGCUGUUUAGUUGCGAAACUUGUGGCAAGAAUUUCUACUCCAAAGGUACUUUCUUUGUCCAUAAACGCUGGCAUAAGAACAGCCGUCAGCUUUCAUGUGAACUUUGUCAUCAAAGAUUUUAUCUCAAGAGUUCUGUGUUUGCUCAUAAAAUUGAACAUUCUUCUUCACACAAACCUUAAUAAAGAAAAUGAAGGAACAUAUGAUUGUGUAUGUGUGUAAACAUUGUAAAUAAACAUCCUGAUUGAUUUCA